AAAUGCAAACCAUACUUUUACACUGGGCUGUAUUUCUUACAGGAUCCUUAAGUCCAUUUCUGCUGCAUAACUGGACAUGUAUGCUUGGUAUUUUGUGGGGUGUUUUCUCUCUCUCUCUCUCUCUCUCUCUCUCUUUUAAUUCCAGUAAAAAAAAAUAUAAAGAGAAAAAACAUAAAUAAUUCAGAACACAUGCUUUAUAUCAACUGUUCCCCUGUUACUAUUUUAUCUCUAUAAACAGGGCAGAGGCAAACCCAUCCAAACAUGGAAGGGGAGGAACAUGCAUUGCAAAAUUGUGGAUGGGUCAUAUGAGUCAAGAAUACAUCCACAUAUUUUUUUUCUGGAAGGCUUUGCUCAGUGAUUCCUGGGAGAUGUGAUGUUUGUUGAGUCUCAAAGAACUGGAAGGAGGACAAAUCACCCAACCUGCCUUUCAGGAAACAAUAAAUGCAAGAGAAGAUGGCGUUGAGCUGGAAGAGUGCGAUGGAACUUAAGAUAUUUGGACAGACCCAGCCACAGGAGAUGAAGCUUAAUUUCCCAUGUCUCAAGACAAUUCAUCUUCACGCAGUGCAGUCCAGGCAAGCCACAAGACUGGGAACCCAUGUUUUAGAGCUUGGCUCGCUAUUCUUGGUGACCUUGUUCAGCAAUGGUGUGCUCCUCUAAUGGCUGACUUCUGUUCGUUCCUUUUCAGACCCAGAAUCCUGCUAGCAACCUUCUCAAAACACUGGAGUGCUGCAUGUUUGAAGCAGACAGGCUUCUGUUUUCCAACUGGAAAAUCACGAUUGUGCCAAGAUGUGAUGGAGAGUCAUUAAGUGUCUGCUUUAUUCAUUCCCAUUUUAAAGAAACAUAUACCUAAGUUUAAAAGUGGGGAAGAAUCUUGGCUUCUUUAAGGCUGCAUCAAGAUGGGAUCCUGCAAACAGUUUUGUUUGCCACCUAGGAAAUGUAUUCACAAUUCAUAUUCAAUUUCCUGCCUAUACAAGAAUGGAUUCUGGAUUUCAGAAACUGAUGGUGGGGUGACACUGAACAGAAGAUUAUGUGGCACUUCAUAGAACUUUUCCUUUAUUAGCUGCUCUAUAAUCACAUUAAGUUAGACUGAAAAUUUGAACUAAUUCUUUCCCAUGAGACCCAGGCUGUAAUAAUGGUAAAAAUCUGUGAAAUAGGAUAAAUACAAUUCAAUAAUUAUAUUGAUAAAUAAAAUGAAAAUCAACUAAUUGUGUCA
rnacentral:lncRNA from 1 species